AGGUGAAGAUACAGGAGAGACACAGCUCCGUGAGGAACGGAUGUUUCCAAAGGGGGCCCUUGGCCACAAAGGACUCUCCCAUCCACCACCUCGCUUAGAAUGAACGCUUUCAAGGAGAUCUCCUGGGAUCCCCAAAGCCUCAGCAAUUGCUUCCCCUAACCAUGAGUGGACUCUUCAAAGGCACUUCCUGUGAUGGACUGGUCCAGAACACCCAUCUGGAAGACUGGCUACGUAUAAGGAAACCCCUUUCUUGACGUGAGCUCUGUAAUUGCCCUCCCUGAAAUUAUUGAUGUUUCCCAGGAGACAUUUCUCCAGGAGACGCCCCCCUCUUCUCACCUCUUCUGAAUGGACCCUUUCAAGGAAAUCCAUUCCCACAAUGCACUCUCCCAUGAUAUAGAGCCCAAAGAAGGGGUGCUUCCAAGAGCACCACACCCCCAUGACUACAGUGGACUGCCCAUUAACUUGCCCCUCAAAGAAUGGAACUUUCCAAGGACAUCUUUCUCCUGUGAGCCCUCCCAUUUCUCUACCCCUGGCCCCAUUUGCCAGUCCUUCCACCACCAUAAUGGGGACUUCCAAAGACAUUUCCCCUUCUAAUAAGAGCUUCUCUGAAUAUUUCCAAGACAUGGGACGGAUAUCUUUAAGGAGACUGCCCCUUUGAACAAAGGUUUCUUCCAUUAUCUCCACCCCAUGAACAUACACUUCCAGGGAGACCCCCUUUCUACAAAGGACCCUUAUUUUCCCCCACCCCAUGCUGAACUCACUUCCAAGGAGAAAUAGUACUACAAUGGACUCACCUACUCCCCCCACUCCCAUGAUAGAGGAUUCCAAAGAUACUCUCCUUUCCAUCAAUGGAUGCUUUCAGUAUUCUCAUCCCAACAAAGAACAUCUCCAUGGAGCUCUCCAUAUAGUGGCUCUUCUAGUAACCCCACCUUAUUAAUAGAUGUUUUCAAGGAGACCCUCUUCUUAUAAUGGAGUGUCCCAUUUCAUCCACCAAAUGAAGAGGUGCAUUCCAGAAGACCCCUUCCUAAAUGACUCUCCCAUCUCCAUCCUAUAAAAAUGGAAGAGCUCAGUCUGGCCCCCUUCCUAAAAUAGACUCUCUGUUCUCUAUUCACGUUGGGAGAAUAGUCAUCCUGAUAUCCAUAAAUCCUACCCUGAACUCACGCAUUACCUUUACCUCAUGGAUGGACAUUUCCAAAGAGACCCCUUCCUACAAUGGACUUGUUCAUCUGUCUCUAGAAAAUGGACCUUUCCAGUAUGACCACCUUCCGAAGGUAAAAUCUCCUGUUAUCCAUCCCUGUUUGAAGGAAUGGAAUGGUCCAAAAUACACGAAACCCUUUUCUAAAAUUACUUAACCCCAGAAGGGAUUCCACAGUGCCCACAAUGAACUCCCAGGUUAUAGCCACUCAUGAAUAGAUGAGUGCAAAUAAAUUCCUCCCUAAGAGAUUCACCUCUGAUUCCUCUUCCCCAGGAAGGAAUACUUCCAUAGAAGCCUCUUUCUUAGAAAGGAAUUUCUCAUGAACCCCAUUCAAAAGAAUGGAUGCUCCCAAUGUUCCCCCUCUUCCCAAAACAGGCUCUCCUAUUCUCCAACCGUGUCUGCAAACCCCUCCCUGUAAGGAACUUGCCCCAGUAAGGAGGAAUGAAUUCUUCCACGCAAGCCCUUCUCUCAAUAGUCUUAACCUCUCACUCAUACACACCCACACACAGGCCACCGAACCCAACUGGAUCACUCUCUGACGGCACAAAUGGGACUAUUUGCUGAGCUCCACUACCUUCUAGAGUGGGCUUUCCCAUUGAUUCCCAGCAGUACCUGUGGAACUUGGCUGUACUGCUGUUACUCAAAGUUGGGCAACACCACAAACAUGGCUCCCCCAAUCAUCGCGCGUGCGCGCGCGCACACACACACGCGCGCACACACACACACACACAAAUGAGUCUUUCCAAGAGUACAUUGUUUCUAUUAAUGAAACAAUUUCCCACUAACCCACGAAUCAUUUUCUACUAUCUGCUAAUCCUUUCUCCCUCUCUGCUGCCUAACACUCAAGCAAAGUUCUAUUGUCACCCAAAUAUAGAAAACAGAAGCAUCCCUACCACCUACGCCCCCUAACAAGAGUCACAUCAUUCCAGUGUAAACCAUCACCUUUAAAAAGCGGGUUAGUCCGCUCCUUCCAAGAAAAUAUACGCUUACCCAGAACAAGAUCCCAUACGUCAAUGAAAUCAUCUUCCUCCCAAACAAGAUGGACACUUCAAUUACUCCUCAUCAAGAAAUAGACGCUUACAAGGAGAUCCCUUUUCUGCGAUAGGCUCUCACAUUCCCCCUUGACAGACAAAGGCAGUGUUUCCCCCCAACAUUGCAUGAAAUGAACCAUUCCCCACCUGUUCUUCCAGCAAAAUCUUUUUCAGCCAUCAACCUCCACGACUUUCACCUCUUCCCCCCAUCCCCUGUCUCCCACAAUGACCUCUCCUACCCUGGAACCCUACCUUGCUGGGCCCACGCCUUCCCGCAAACCUGAGACUGCCGCGACCCAGGGGAUUCUGGGAGUUGUAACUCUGUCGCCCUGCAGACGAAGGAAGGUCGAAGGAAGGCCGGAGCAUAGUUGUCUCCGGGGUAGGAGGGGCUGCCUUACCUGAGCGUCCUGGUAGCCCUGGAGCAGCAGGAAGUAGGGACGGUUGCUGGGAGCCUGAAUGAGGCACUGGGUCAACUGAUCGAAGUCGCCAGGGUCAGCAGGUCCGAUUUGGGUGUCGGCUGCCCCCGGGGCCAUGCUAAGUGCCUGCUGCCUGCGCUCCUGCUGCCGCCGCCGGCGACCCUGCAGGCUGAGCUCCGACACGCUGCGCCGCAGGGACAGGUUUUCCGAGCGCUCUUUGCCCCCGGGCCCAGCGGGGGGCCCUGACCCGGACCCCGGGCCCGGACUGGCCAGGGCCGCCCCUCCGGACGCCGCCCGGGAGCGAUUCUUCUGCGGCCGCCACGAGGGGGCACCCGUGCCUGCGGAGAGACCGAGAGGGAUGAGGCAAGAGACUCCAAAGAGCCCGAGACAGGCUCGCAGAGCCGAGAUGAUAAAGAGACAAAAAAUUGACCACAGAGAGGGUUUUUGCUGAGCGGAACCGACAAAGAACGGAUCGGAAUCCGAGCCAGAGUUCAGAGCUCAGGAGGUUGACCGCUACACCACUCUGUCUCCCCGAUGGGAGGCUCAGAAACAGAAAAGCGUUAGAAGGUUCUGUGAGCAGCCCCUUAGAGCCAGGCUCCAUCCCUGCCGGGCCCUGCUCUGCACUUACUAUUUCACCAAGGGGACCAUCUCCUGUUCCAGGAACGUUUCCUCAAAGGCCAGGCCAGCAUGCUCCUCCCCCUUAGAGGCUUAAUCUACGCCGGCCCUGACUCUCGCGAGAGGCCUUCUAGCCACGCGGACGACCACCACCACUCAGCACCUCUGGCUCUGGGGUUACCCUCUUCAGCAGGGACCCCCCACCCCAUCACAAGCCCCGCCCAUCCACUCUGGCAAUAACUCCGGUCUAGCCCCAGCCCCGCCCCCGACCUGACCCUGGGCUUUAGGCUCCUCCCAUUCACACCCACCCCCCCCCCUCCCCUUUCUCCCGUGGGCCCCGCCUCCAGCCUACCCUAGGUCUCUCCAGCCCCCUUAGCCAGAUCCCG